UGUAUAUAAGGAUCAAGUGAAAUUUUUUUAUAUCAAUUUAAUCUCGUUCGUUCGAAAAGCCCUGAAGAUGCGUGAGCUCGUCAUACUGACCAUAUUCCUGGUCUUCGCAUGCACCUGUGCGGUACCUCAACGUGGUCUUCCUCCUUGUCCGGAAAAUGCCAGUUUUCGACCCUGCGGCCCAGCCUGCCCCGUGAUGUGUUCAAACCUGAGGCCCCAAUGUCCGGGAGAAUCCUGCAGAGCCGGAUGCUUCUGCAAUUCCGGUUGGAUUCAACAAAGUCCUGGUGGUCCAUGUGUGCGAACCUGCCCUCGUUAAAAAUAAUUCUCUCCUCGAUGAGAACGACAAAAUCAAUUAUAUACAAUAAAACCAUUUUAAUUCUUAAUAA